rnacentral:rRNA from 1 species
UACGUAGGGGGCGAGCGUUGUCCGGAGUUACUGGGCGUAAAGCGCACGCAGGCGGUCUGUUAAGUUUGGAGUGACAGUUGGUGGCUUAACUGCCAAAGUGCUUCGAAAACUGACAGACUUGAGGGCUUCAGGAGGGACACGGAAUCCGGGUGGAGUGGUGAAAUGCGGUAGAGAUCCGGAGGAACACCAAAGGCGAAGGCAGUGUCCGUGGGGAGUACCUGACGCUCGAGGUGCGAAAGCCAGGGGAGCGAACGGGGAUUGAGAGUACCC